rnacentral:rRNA from 1 species
AGUCGAGCGGACAGAUGGGAGCUUGCUCCCUGAUGUUAGCGGCGGACGGGUGAGUAACACGUGGGUAACCUGCCUGUAAGACUGGGAUAACUCCGGGAAACCGGGGCUAAUACCGGAUGCUUGUUUGAACCGCAUGGUUCAAACAUAAAAGGUGGCUUCGGCUACCACUUACAGAUGGACCCGCGGCGCAUUAGCUAGUUGGUGAGGUAACGGCUCACCAAGGCAACGAUGCGUAGCCGACCUGAGAGGGUGAUCGGCCACACUGGGACUGAGACACGGCCCAGACUCCUACGGGAGGCAGCAGUAGGGAAUCUUCCGCAAUGGACGAAAGUCUGACGGAGCAACGCCGCGUGAGUGAUGAAGGUUUUCGGAUCGUAAAGCUCUGUUGUUAGGGAAGAACAAGUACCGUUCGAAUAGGGCGGUACCUUGACGGUACCUAACCAGAAAGCCACGGCUAACUACGUGCCAGCAGCCGCGGUAAUACGUAGGUGGCAAGCGUUGUCCGGAAUUAUUGGGCGUAAAGGGCUCGCAGGCGGUUUCUUAAGUCUGAUGUGAAAGCCCCCGGCUCAACCGGGGAGGGUCAUUGGAAA